rnacentral:rRNA from 1 species
AUUGAACGCUGGCGGCAGGCCUAACACAUGCAAGUCGAGCGGAGCGGCUGACGGGUGAGUAAUGCCUAGGGAUCUGCCUGGUCGUGGGUGAUAACGUCCUGAAACGGGCGCUAAUACCGCAUACUAUCAGAUGAGCCUGGGUUGGAUUAGCUAGUUGGUGGGGUAAGGGCUUACCAAGGCGACGAUCCGUAACUGGGCUGAGAGGAUGAUCAGCCACACUGGAACUGAGACACGGCCCAGACUCCUACGGGAGGCAGCAGUGGGGAAUAUUGGACAAUGGGCGAAAGCCUGAUCGAGCCAUGCCGCGUGUGUGAAGAAGGUCUUCGGAUUGUAAAGCACUUUAAGUUGGGAGGCGUUACCAACAGAAUAAGCACCGGCUAACUACGUGCCAGCCGCCGCGGUAAUUC